rnacentral:lncRNA from 1 species
GAACGUGAUUGGAUGAAUCUGAAGUCCCGCUAAACACUGAAUUCACAGCCUCGCGCACAUUUAAUAUCGUGCGAGCUACUCGACAACCGCGAGUUUGGUAAGUGCGUGUUGCUGAGUUCGCAGAAUAUUAUGCAAGUUGUCAAAUGCAACUCAGAAUAGUUCAUGUUGAAAAGUUAUAAUGACGUAAAAGGGCCAUUAAUGAAACAGUAAGUUCAACAGCAAAGUGGGUAUUCUCAUCCUAAUAAUUUUAGCUAAGGUAGCGUUUUUUGUUAGCUAACAAAGCAGCAUUUCACACAUAUUUUAGCUAGCUGGUGCUACAUGUAGCAGCAAGUGUUUAGUUAUUUAGCACCACAGCCUACAUGCUAUAUAAAUUACCUGACCUGCAUUUGUUUAGGUGAUGGCAACUAAGUUGAUCUCAUCUAUACCACAGGAUUAACAGCAAAUCGCUUCAAGCAAAAAGACAACACAGGAGUUGAUUCUAUCGCCACAUGUCAAGAUGAGGGACAGACACAGGACCAUUACACCGGAAUGGACAGUCUUCCUUAUCGGGUCAGACAGUGAUGAACCUACCCACUAUCCUGAUGAACUUGCUCUUAAGGGCAGUGAGGCCUCCAGUUUUCUGCCACGGUGUUUACUCUCUGGCUGCCAAAGGAGGAAGAAGAGGGGAUCUAUUUGUCCCAAGGGUCGUCUGUAAAACACUGUCUGUGGAGGUGAUUUUAUAUGGGCCUCAAAGUAUUUGUAUCAACAUCGUGUCAGACCUGGAUACAAGGAGCCACACUCUGGAGGUCUGCCCUAUACCAGCCUCCACCAGCCACUUCAUCCUUUACAUGCGCCUUGCAUCCUGUCAGACUUGCAGGCUCGUAGGACACGUUCACACAAAGAGGGUUAAAGCUUUGUGGCACAUCAUACUGAAGUGCUCUGAAGCCACAGCGAAGACCUCUGCUUCAAGCUGCCGCCAUCAGAUUACGGGCCGCCAGGCUACACAUCAGCCUGCUGGAGGCUUGAUUAGCAGCAUCUGUGGGAGAGAAAAUUCAAGGGUGAGCAUGGGAGCCAACUUAUCUGCCAGCAGCAACUGGUCAUUUAAAAGCUAUGCAAGGCCUGGGCAACGCUUGGUCCUGAGCAGCGCCUUGUUAGGAUUAGGUCUUACUGUACUGUAUGGAGGUGAAACAAAACUAAUUUAAAUGUGUUUCUGAAUGACAUUUUUUAUCCAGCUACAGUUAGUUUUUAAAUGAUUUACGUUUACCUCGCACAUGGACCUUGUCAAAUUGUCCUUCCAUUGUCCAACGAGAAGAGACCUUUCAUGUCUAUUCACUUGUAGUCAGAUGUUAAUAAUGGACUUUACCACCUGUUCUAUACAUUCUGCUGCUAAGCAGUUUGUGUAAGUGCAAGGGACAUUGUAUGUGUAGACUUGUUCAGUUUGCCUUGCCUUUGGUGAAAUACACCUACUGACCUUUUUAUUAGGUACGUGUGCAGUUCAAUUCAAUCAGACUGUCAGCAAUUCUACCAGGUCAUAAUUUCUCUGUUUUUAAGUUCUAAAAGUUCUAUUUUUAUUAUUGAGCUCAUGUUGGGUAUAGGUCUUUUAUGGUGGUACUAUAUUAGGAGAUUGUUACCAAAAACACCAGAACCAUCCCAGCUGUGAGGCCAGUGAGUGUGUAUAAUGUACACCUCCCCUGUUCUUUGUUUCAAACUAUGCACACCUGACGCUGCCCAUGCAGGUGCACGCUAACAAAGCUCUGCUUUCUAGUAACCCCCACCGUAAACACAGAGAGCAGCAAUCACUGAAGCAGUGAUGUUGAACCUGCAUAGUUAAUAGGAAACCUGCCAUGUUGUUUGUCAUGUGCUCUGCCUAUGCAUCAUCAUCAUCAUUCAAAAUGAAAUUUCAGUAUAUACAAAAGCUCUGUUUUUAAGUUUGGUAUUAAUGUUACCUACGGCCUUUGACUAUUUACAGGCCCGAUAAGGAUCUUCCAUUAAUAGAAGCUUAAUUUUAGCUCCUUAGAUAUUUUUAUGAAGGGGAAUUUUACCUGUGCCUUCAUCUGCCCUGCAGCCAGACUGUGCAAAACCACAUCCUUGUACACUGGAAAAAGAGCAGGUUGUUUACACGAAAUGGCCAAAGCAAAGGUAUGAAAAUGUUCCCUUCCUGCUGACCCAGUCUGAAAAGAAAGUGCGGAAAGGCUGCUGGCUCCCUGCAGUGCUGACUCCUUUUCACAGUGUCAUAUUUAGAGAAGGCAGAAAUAAAACUGAACAAAGGAAGGAGAAGAAAUCA